AGAGUUUGAUCAUGGCUCAGGACGAACGCUGGCGGCGUGCCUAACACAUGCAAGUCGAACGGGGCUCUUUGGAUCGAGACUUCGGUCAAGUGAAUCUGAGCUUAGUGGCGGACGGGUGAGUAACGCGUGAGCAACCUGCCUUUCAGAGGGGGACAACAGUUGGAAACGACUGCUAAUACCGCAUAAUGUGUCGAGGAGGCAUCUCCUUGACACCAAAGAUUUAUCGCUGAAAGAUGGGCUCGCGUCUGAUUAGCUAGUUGGUGGGGUAACGGCCUACCAAGGCGACGAUCAGUAGCCGG
rnacentral:rRNA from 1 species